rnacentral:rRNA from 1 species
CAGUCGCCGCGGUAAUACGUAGGGUGCAAGCGUUGAUCGGAAUUACUGGGCGUAAAGCGUGCGCAGGCGGUUAUAUAAGUCAGAUGUGAAAUCCCCGGGCUCAACCUGGGAACUGCAUUUGAGACUGUAUGGCUAGAGUGUGUCAGAGGGGGGGUAGAAUUCCACGUGUAGCAGUGAAAUGCGUAGAUAUGUGGAGGAAUACCGAUGGCGAAGGCAGCCCCCUGGGAUAACACUGACGCUCAUGCAUGAAAGCGUGGGGAGCAAACAGGAUUAGAUACCCCGGUAGUCCCUGUCUCUUAUA